AGGGGAAUAUUGCACAAUGGGCGCAAGCCUGAUGCAGCGACGCCGCGUGAGGGAUGACGGCCUUCGGGUUGUACACCUCUUUCAGCUCCGACGAAGCGCAAGAGACGGUAGGAGCAGAAGAAGCACCGGCCAACUACGUGCCAGCAGCCGCGGUAAUACGUAGGGUGCAAGCGUUGUCCGUAAUUACUGGGCGUAAAGAUCUCGUAGGCGGUUUAUCGCGUCGUCUGUGAAAUUCUGCAGUUUAACUGCAGGCGUGCAGUGGAUACGGGCAGACUUGAGUACUACAGGGGAGACUGGAAUUCCUGGUGUAGCGGUGAAAUGCGCAGAUAUCAGGAGGAACACCGGUGGCGAAUGAGGGUCUCUGGGUAGUAACUGACGCUGAGUAGCGAAAGCGGGGGUAGCGAACAUG
rnacentral:rRNA from 1 species